GUUUGAUCCUGGCUCAGGAUGAACGCUGGCGGCAUGCCUAAUACAUGCAAGUCGAACGGAGUGAAGCCUUCGGGUUUCAUUCAGUGGCGAACGGGUGAGUAAUACGCAGGGAACCUGGCCAUGGCAGGGGGAUACACUCUGGAAACGGAGCAUAAGACCCCAUAGGCAGUAAGGCGGCAUCGCCUUGCUGUUAAAGAAAGCUGAAAGGCUUUGGCGAUGGAUGGACCUGCGGUGCAUUAGCUUGUUGGUGAGGCAACGGCUUACCAAGGCGAUGAUGCAUAGCCGGCCUGAGAGGGCGGACGGCCACACUGGGACUGAGACACGGCCCAGACUCCUGCGGGAGGCAGCAGUAGGGAAUUUUCGUCAAUGGGCGCAAGCCUGAACGAGCAAUGCCGCGUGAGUGAGGAAGGUCUUCGGACUGUAAAGCUCUGUUGCCGGGGAAAAAGGGGAAAUGCAGGAAAUGGCAUUUCAUGGAUGGUACCCGGCCAGAAAGCCACGGCUAACUACGUGCCAGCAGCCGCGGUAAUACGUAGGUGGCGAGCGUUAUCCGGAAUGAUUGGGCGUAAAGGGUGCGCAGGCGGUCUGUUAAGUCUGAAGGCAAAGGGAUGAGCUCAACUCAUUUAUGAUUCAGAAACUGGCAGACUUGAGGACAGGAGAGGGCGGUGGAACUCCAUGUGUAGCGGUAAAAUGCGCAGAGAUAUGGAAGAACACCAGUGGCGAAGGCGGCCGCCUGGCCUGUGACUGACGCUGAGGCACGAAAGCGUGGGGAGCAAAUAGGAUUAGAUACCCUAGUAGUCCACGCCGUAAACGAUGAGGAGCAGGUGUUGGGAGUGAAAUCUCAGUGCCGAAGCCAACGCAGUGACUCCUCCGCCUGGGGAGUAUGCACGCAAGUGUGAAACUCAAAGGAAUUGACGGGGGCCCGCACAAGCGGUGGAGUAUGUGGUUUAAUUCGAAGCAACGCGAAGAACCUUACCAGGUUUUGACAUCGGAUGCGAAGGCGCAGAGAUGCGCUGGAGGCUAUCAUCCAGACAGGUGGUGCAUGGUUGUCGUCAGCUCGUGUCGUGAGAUGUUCAGUUAAGUCUGGCAACGAGCGCAACCCCCGUGGUAUGUUACUAACGCAUUUGGGCGAGGACUCAUAUCAGACUGCCGGUGACAAACCGGAGGAAGGCGGGGAUGACGUCAAAUCAUCAUGCCCCUUAUGGCCUGGGCUACACACGUACUACAAUGGCGUCUACAGAGGGAAGCGACCCUGAGAAGGGAAGCGAAACCGGAAAAGGGCGUCCCAGUUCGGAUUGAAGUCUGCAACCCGACUUCAUGAAGAUGGAAUCGCUAGUAAUCGCGGAUCAGCAUGCCGCGGUGAAUACGUUCCCGGGCCUUGUACACACCGCCCGUCAAACCAUGGAAGCCGGCAACGCCCGAAGCCGGUGGCAUAACCUUUUAGGAGUGAGCCGUCGAAGGCGGGGCCGAUGACUGGGGUUAAGUCGUAACAAGGUAUCC
rnacentral:rRNA from 1 species